rnacentral:rRNA from 1 species
GGGUUGUGAGGUUAAGCGACUAAGCGUACACGGUGGAUGCCCUGGCAGUCAGAGGCGAUGAAGGACGUGCUAAUCUGCGAUAAGCGUCGGUAAGGUGAUAUGAACCGUUAUAACCGGCGAUUUCCGAAUGGGGAAACCCAGUGUGUUUCGACACACUAUCAUUAACUGAAUCCAUAGGUUAAUGAGGCGAACCGGGGGAACUGAAACAUCUAAGUACCCCGAGGAAAAGAAAUCAACCGAGAUUCCCCCAGUAGCGGCGAGCGAACGGGGAGCAGCCCAGAGCCUGAAUCAGUAUGUGUGUUAGUGGAAGCGUCUGGAAAGGCGCGCGAUACAGGGUGACAGCCCCGUACACAAAAAUGCACAUGCUGUGAGCUCGAUGAGUAGGGCGGGACACGUGGUAUCCUGUCUGAAUAUGGGGGGACCAUCCUCCAAGGCUAAAUACUCCUGACUGACCGAUAGUGAACCAGUACCGUGAGGGAAAGGCGAAAAGAACCCCGGCGAGGGGAGUGAAAAAGAACCUGAAACCGUGUACGUACAAGCAGUGGGAGCACGCUUAGGCGUGUGACUGCGUACCUUUUGUAUAAUGGGUCAGCGACUUAUAUUCUGUAGCAAGGUUAACCGAAUAGGGGAGCCGAAGGGAAACCGAGUCUUAACUGGGCGUUAAGUUGCAGGGUAUAGACCCGAAACCCGGUGAUCUAGCCAUGGGCAGGUUGAAGGUUGGGUAACACUAACUGGAGGACCGAACCGACUAAUGUUGAAAAAUUAGCGGAUGACUUGUGGCUGGGGGUGAAAGGCCAAUCAAACCGGGAGAUAGCUGGUUCUCCCCGAAAGCUAUUUAGGUAGCGCCUCGUGAAUUCAUCUCCGGGGGUAGAGCACUGUUUCGGCAAGGGGGUCAUCCCGACUUACCAACCCGAUGCAAACUGCGAAUACCGGAGAAUGUUAUCACGGGAGACACACGGCGGGUGCUAACGUCCGUCGUGAAGAGGGAAACAACCCAGACCGCCAGCUAAGGUCCCAAAGUCAUGGUUAAGUGGGAAACGAUGUGGGAAGGCCCAGACAGCCAGGAUGUUGGCUUAGAAGCAGCCAUCAUUUAAAGAAAGCGUAAUAGCUCACUGGUCGAGUCGGCCUGCGCGGAAGAUGUAACGGGGCUAAACCAUGCACCGAAGCUGCGGCAGCGACGCUGAUGCGUUGUUGGGUAGGGGAGCGUUCUGUAAGCCUGCGAAGGUGUGCUGUGAGGCAUGCUGGAGGUAUCAGAAGUGCGAAUGCUGACAUAAGUAACGAUAAAGCGGGUGAAAAGCCCGCUCGCCGGAAGACCAAGGGUUCCUGUCCAACGUUAAUCGGGGCAGGGUGAGUCGACCCCUAAGGCGAGGCCGAAAGGCGUAGUCGAUGGGAAACAGGUUAAUAUUCCUGUACUUGGUGUUACUGCGAAGGGGGGACGGAGAAGGCUAUGUUGGCCGGGCGACGGUUGUCCCGGUUUAAGCGUGUAGGCUGGUUUUCCAGGCAAAUCCGGAAAAUCAAGGCUGAGGCGUGAUGACGAGGCACUGCGGUGCUGAAGCAACAAAUGCCCUGCUUCCAGGAAAAGCCUCUAAGCAUCAGGUAACAUCAAAUCGUACCCCAAA